GCCCGGAGAUGUCGACUUGGAGGUUGUGCCCUUGAGGCGUGGCUUCCGGAGCUAACGCGUUAAGUCGACCGCCUGGGGAGUACGGCCGCAAGGUUAAAACUCAAAUGAAUUGACGGGGGCCCGCACAAGCGGUGGAGCAUGUGGUUUAAUUCGAUGCAACGCGAAGAACCUUACCUACUCUUGACAUCCAGAGAACUUAGCAGAGAUGCUUUGGUGCCUUCGGGAACUCUGAGACAGGUGCUGCAUGGCUGUCGUCAGCUCGUGUUGUGAAAUGUUGGGUUAAGUCCCGCAACGAGCGCAACCCUUAUCCUUUGUUGCCAGCGGUUCGGCCGGGAACUCAAAGGAGACUGCCAGUGAUAAACUGGAGGAAGGUGGGGAUGACGUCAAGUCAUCAUGGCCCUUACGAGUAGGGCUACACACGUGCUACAAUGGCAUAUACAAAGAGAAGCGACCUCGCGAGAGCAAGCGGACCUCAUAAAGUAUGUCGUAGUCCGGAUUGGAGUCUGCAACUCGACUCCAUGAAGUCGGAAUCGCUAGUAAUCGUGGAUCAGAAUGCCACGGUGAAUACGUUCCCGGGCCUUGUACACACCGCCCGUCACACCAUGGGAGUGGGUUGCAAAAGAAGUAGGUAGCUUAACCUUCGGGAGGGCGCUUACCACUUUGUGAUUCAUGACUGGGGUGAAGUCGUACAGGGAAAACCCGAAAAAGGGG
rnacentral:rRNA from 1 species